rnacentral:rRNA from 1 species
AGCUCCAAUAGCGUAUAUUAAAGUUGUUGCGGUUAAAAAGCUCGUAGUUGGAUUUCUGUCUGGGGGGACCGGUCCACUUUCUGAGUGAGUACAUGGUCGACUCUGGGCAUCCUCCUGGGGAUCGUACUACACUUGAUUGUGUGGUGCGGGAUCUAGGACUUUUACUUUGAGGAAAUUAGAGUGUUCACUGCAGGCAUACGCCUUGAAUAUAUUAGCAUGGAAUAAUAAGAUAGGACCUUAGUUCUAUUUUUUCGGUUUCUAGAGCUGAGGUAAUGAUUAACAGGGAUAGUUGGGGGCAUUCGUAUUUAACUGUCAGAGGUGAAAUUCUUGGAUUUGUUAAAG